rnacentral:rRNA from 1 species
GACGAACGCUGGCGGCGUGCUUAACACAUGCAAGUCGAACGGAAAGGCCCUGCUUUUGUGGGGUGCUCGAGUGGCGAACGGGUGAGUAACACGUGAGUAACCUGCCCUUGACUUUGGGAUAACUUCAGGAAACUGGGGCUAAUACCGGAUAGGAGCUCCUGCUGCAUGGUGGGGGUUGGAAAGUUUCGGCGGUUGGGGAUGGACUCGCGGCUUAUCAACUUGUUGGUGGGGUAGUGGCUUACCAAGGCUUUGACGGGUAGCCGGCCUGAGAGGGUGACCGGCCACAUUGGGACUGAGAUACGGCCCAGACUCCUACGGGAGGCAGCAGUGGGGAAUAUUGCACAAUGGGCGGAAGCCUGAUGCAGCAACGCCGCGUGCGGGAUGACGGCCUUCGGGUUGUAAACCGCUUUCGCCUGUGACGAAGCGUGAGUGACGGUAGUGGGUAAAGAAGCACCGGCUAACUACGUG